AGGGCUUCUUAUUCCACAAGAACGAAAGCACCUUUCAUUCUUUCAUAUACUAGGGGUUUUUACAUGGAAAAGACAAUGUUCCAUACUAAAGGAUUCGGGUCCAUAACCACGAGUUCCAGUGCACUAGAUCUUGUAGCACUUAGCAACGAAGCCCUAUCCAUUAGUAUUCCACAUAAGAAAUCCAUUCUAGAAAAAAAUACAAUUAGAUUAGCUCUUCAUAGACAAACUUCGGGUUUGCGAGCCAAGGUAAGAUCGGCUCGGGAUCAUGGGACCCUUUUCUAUCAGAUAGGAGGGGCUCUUGUACAAAAUAGAUUAGUAAGUAAUAACCCCGUAGAAUCUAUCUAUAUAAAGAUAAAGAGGCAAUCAUGUCAGGAAGCGGGUUUUUCUUUGGCCAAAAGGUACUUCAAACUUGGAACGAUCAUGAAGAGAUUAACGAGACUUCUUUCUCUUUUGAGUUUUUCUGGCGGACCUGCCGCGCAAGAUCUUUGGUCUUCCCCUGGAACCGAUGAAAAAAAGUGGAUCGCUUCUUAUGUACUCGCUCAGAAUAAUUCUUCUCUAUCUAUAGUUCAUGGCCUAUUAGAAGUAGAAGGUGCUCUGGUGCAAUCCUUACCGACAGAAAAAGAUUGCAGUCAGGUUGAUAAUAGUCGAGUUACAUUACUUCGUCGGUCCGAACUAAGGAAUCUGUUAGAAAUGUUUUGA
rnacentral:rRNA from 1 species